UACGGAGGGUGCGAGCGUUAAUCGGAAUUACUGGGCGUAAAGGGUGCGUAGGUGGUUGAUUAAGUUAUCUGUGAAAUUCCUGGGCUUAACCUGGGCAGGUCAGAUGAUACUGAUUGACUCGAGUAUGGGAGAGGGUAGUGGAAUUUCCGGUGUAGCGGUGAAAUGCGUAGAGAUCGGAAGGAACACCAGUGGCGAAGGCGGCUACCUGGCCUAAUACUGACACUGAGGCACGAAAGCGUGGGGAGCAAACAGG
rnacentral:rRNA from 1 species